rnacentral:rRNA from 1 species
GAUGAACGCUGGCGGCGUGCCUAAUACAUGCAAGUCGAGCGAACGGACGAGAAGCUUGCUUCUCUGAUGUUAGCGGCGGGCGGGUGAGUAACACGUGGAUAACCUACCUAUAAGACUGGGAUAACUUCGGGAAACCGGAGCUAAUACCGGAUAAUAUUUUGAACCGCAUGGUUCAAAAGUGAAAGACGGUCUUGCUGUCACUUAUAGAUGGAUCCGCGCUGCAUUAGCUAGUUGGUAAGGUAACGGCUUACCAAGGCAACGAUGCAUAGCCGACCUGAGAGGGUGAUCGGCCACACUGGAACUGAGACACGGUCCAGACUCCUACGGGAGGCAGCAGGAGGGAAUCUUCCGCAAUGGGCGAAAGCCUGACGGAGCAACGCCGCGUGAGUGAUGAAGGUCUUCGGAUCGUAAAACUCUGUUAUUAGGGAAGAACAUAUGUGUAAGUAACUGUGCACAUCUUGACGGUACCUAAUCAGAAAGCCACGGCUAACUACGUG